AAGGCCUUAGCUUAAUAAAAGUGUUUGAUUUGCAAUCAGGAGAUAUGAGUUAAUCUCUCGUAGGUCUUA
rnacentral:tRNA from 1 species